rnacentral:rRNA from 1 species
UNNGCUCGUAGGUGACUGCGGAGGACAUUAAAGAGAUAGGGUCUUCAUGGCCCGACCUCCAACCCUCUGUUGUUAUAACUACCUUGUUGCUUUGGCGGGACCGUCUCGGUCUCCGAGCGCACUAACCCUCGGGUUGGUGAGCGCCCGCCAGAGUCCAACCAAACUCUUGUAUUAAACCAGUCGUCUGAGUAUAAAAUUUUAAUUAAAUUAAAACUUUCAACAACGGAUCUCUUGGUUCUCGCAUCGAUGAAGAACGCAGCGAAAUGCGAUAAGUAAUGUGAAUUGCAGAAUUCAGUGAAUCAUCGAAUCUUUGAACGCACAUUGCGCCCCUUGGUAUUCCGAGGGGCAUGCCUGUUCGAGCGUCAUUACACCACUCAAGCAUCGCUUGGUAUUGGGAACGGUCCGUCGAAAGGCGGGCCUUCCUCGAAGACCUCGGCGGGGUUCAACCAACUUCGGGCGUAGUAGAGUUAAAUCGAACGUCUUAUAAGCUUGGUCGGAUCUCAUUGCCGUUAAACCUUUAAAUUUUCUAGGUUGACCUCGGAUCAGGUAGGGAUACCCGCUGAACUUAAGCAUAUCAAUAAGGC